UCACAGUGGGAGGCAUAGAUAUCUCACACGUGUGAUUGUUAAUUCUGAUUGGAAGUUAUCCAAUCAGAAUUAAGCAAAGGGUAUUUAUACUUACCUUUCCUGUCUCUCAGUGCCCUGUUGUGGUCUUGUGAUACCUGUAGUGUAGUUUUCUCAUCUUGCUCUCUGGUUACCGAUUAUUUGGCUCGUUAUUCCGAUUAUAUUGUCUUCUCCGCUCCUUUGACCUCGGCUUGUUUCUCGUUCUCCUGUUUUCUGGCUCCCUUUACUUGGCUUGUCUCCUGACCAUUCUUAGUGUGCUUAGCCCGGCCACUCUAAGGACCGGUAUAGCAUCCUUCCUCUCUGUGUCCUGUUAGCGUGUUAGGUUCCCGAAUCGUGACAUUACAACAGGGCCACCAUGGAACCUGCUGACAUUCCACAGAUGUUAGUAAAUCAGGAGGCUAGAAUGGUUCAGACCAUCGUAUGGAUCAGUUUGCCCAGGCUUUACAAACCAUAAUGGCUCGUACUGCCCACCUGCAACCUGUCGUUCAAGAAGCUGUUACUGCUGUGCCAGAACCCAUUCCCGAUCCAGUACCCACUCCUGCUCACGUGGUUCACAUGACGCCACCUCAGCGCUAUAGCGGUGAUCCAGCAUUUUGCCAUGGUUUCCUCAACCAAAUUGAUCUUCAUUUGGUGAUGAAUCCUCGUUUCUACCCCACUGACAGAACCAAAAUUGCUUUUCUGAUCAACCACUUGUCCGGGAAAGCUCUAGCAUGGGCUAAUCCCAUGUGGGAGAAUACGUCCCCAAUGUCCUUUGCAGACUUUUUGCUGUACAGCUUUUAAAUGUACAUUUGAUCAACCCGGCAGGGUUGCUUCUGCUGGCAAAGCUCUGCUUAGGGUCCGACAGGGUAAUAGAUCUGUAGCGGACUAUACCAUUGAAUUCCACACUCUGGCAGCUGAAGUGGUUUGGAAUAACGACGCCCUCGUAACAGCCUUUCAGGAGGGUUUGGCCGCCACAUAUUAGAUGAAAUAGCAUCCAGGGAAUUGCCUGUUCUUCUGGAUGAUGUAAUAGAUUAUAUAAUUCUUAUUGACAACCGUAUUAGAGAGAGGUGUAUUCAAAGAAGGAUGGACACACAGGGGUUACCUGCUUUACCCAGUACUGCAUUACUAGCAUUACCUCCUCCUAAUCAACCACCUCCCGAACCCAUGCAAUUAGGUGCUGUAGGCUUAACUGAAGCUGAAAGAACGUACCGCAGAAGGGCGGGCUUGUGCCUUUAUUGUGGAAAGAGGGAGCAUCUCCGAAGAAACUGUCCUAGUUUGCAGGGAAACUUCAGCACCUAAGGCCUAGAGAGGGGUCGGCCUCGGGUGUUAUGUUUUUUUCCCCUCAUGUGUCCACCUCCAGACCAUUUAUUACUGUUAGUCUUUUGGUCAAUCAAACCACUAUAACAACUAAAGCCUUGAUCGAUUCAGGUGCUGCAGACAACUUUAUGGAUGAGAACUUUACAAAAACCGCAGCCUUGACACUGAUCCAAAAGGCCACACCCUUGGCCGUUGAGGCCAUGGAUGGGAGACCACUUGAUAAAACUCUGGUGACCCAUGAAACCCAAGAAAUGGUUAUGGCCAUGGGUGUCUUACACAAGGAAAGGUUAACCUUCCAAAUAAUCGACUCCCCUACAGCUUCCAUCGUUCUGGGCUUUCCCUGGUUAGUUAUGCAUAACCCGGUACUUGAUUGGGGUUGUUUAGAUAUACUCUCCUGGGGGGAAUCCUGUCAACAAGACUGUAUGGCCCGUUUACGUCCCGUUUGCUUACUUAAUGUGCCUACAGCUAAACCACUUUCUGUUUCUGUCCCUCCUGUGUAUGCAGACCUCGUAUUGGUCUUUGAAAAAAGGGAGGCUGAUAAGCUACCCCCACACCGGGAUUAUGAUUGUGCC